AAAAAUGUAACAAGGUUUCGUAGGCGAAGCUGAGGAGGAGGAUCAUUA
rnacentral:rRNA from 1 species